GGGCCCGUAGCUCAGCCCGGUAGAGCGCCCGGCUCAUAACCGGGUGGUCCGGGGUUCAAAUCCCCGCGGGCCCACCA
rnacentral:tRNA from 3 species